rnacentral:tRNA from 1 species
GCCCUAGUAGCUCAGUUGGUUAGAGUGUUGACUUGUUAAGUCAAGGUUACGAGUUUGAUCCCAGUCAGGACA